ensembl:misc_RNA Metazoa_SRP Metazoan signal recognition particle RNA
GCCAGGUGUGGUGAUGCAUGCCUAUAGUCCCAGCUACUUGGGAGGCUGAGGUGGGAGGAUCACUUGAGUUCAUGAGUUCUGGGCUGUAGUGCACUGUGCCGAUUGGGUGUCCGCACUAAGUUUGGCAUCGGUGUGGUGACCUCCCGGGAGUGAGGGACCACCAGAUUGCCUAAGGAGGGGUGAACUGGCCCAGGUUAGAAAUGGAGCAGGUCAAAAUUCCCGUGCUGAUCAGUAGUGGGAUCGUGUCUGUGAAUAGCCACUACACUUCAGCCUGGGCAAUUUUUAAUUUCUA